rnacentral:rRNA from 1 species
UACGUAGGUGGCAAGCGUUGUCCGGAUUUACUGGGCGUAAAGCGCACGUAGGCGGGUCGUUAAGUCAGGGGUGAAAUCCUGGAGCUCAACUCCAGAACUGCCCUUGAUACUGGCGAUCUCGAGUUCGGGAGAGGUGAGUGGAACUGCGAGUGUAGAGGUGAAAUUCGUAGAUAUUCGCAAGAACACCAGUGGCGAAGGCGGCUCACUGGCCCGAUACUGACGCUGAGGCACGAAAGCGUGGAGAGCAAACAGG